rnacentral:rRNA from 1 species
AGUGAACGCUGGCGGUAGGCCUAACACAUGCAAGUCGAACGGCAGCACAGUAAGAGCUUGCUCUUACGGGUGGCGAGUGGCGGACGGGUGAGGAAUACAUCGGAAUCUACUUUUUCGUGGGGGAUAACGUAGGGAAACUUACGAUAAUACCGCAUACGACCUACGGGUGAAAGCAGGGGAUCUUCGGACCUUGCGCGAUUGAAUGAGCCGAUGUCGGAUUAGCUAGUUGGCGGGGUAAAGGCACACCAAGGCAACGAUCCGUAGCUGGUCUGAGAGGAUAAUCAGCCACACUGGAACUGAGACACGGUCCAGACUCCUACGGGAGGCAGCAGUGGGGAAUAUUGGACAAUGGGCGCAAGCCUGAUCCAGCCACACCGCGUGAGUGAAGAAGGCCUUCGGGUUGUAAAGCUCUUUUGUUGGGAAAGAAAAGCAGCAGGUUAAUACCCCGCUGUUCUGACGGUACCCAAAGAAUAAGCACCGGCUAACUUCGUG